UUGGAGGGCAAGUCUGGUGCCAGCAGCCGCGGUAAUUCCAGCUCCAAUAGCGUAUAUUAAAGUUGUUGCAGUUAAAAAGCUCGUAGUUGAAUUUCGGGAUCAGAGUGUCGGUCGUGCCUCGGUACGCACUGGUAUUAUUGGUUCCUACCUUCUGAAGAACCGCGAUGUCAUUAAUUUGGUGUCGUGGGGAAUCAGGACUGUUACUUUGAAAAAAUUAGAGUGUUUAAAGCAGGCUUACGCUUGAAUACAUUAGCAUGGAAUAAUGAAAUAGGACGUUUGAUUCUAUUUUGUUGGUUUCUAGGAUUGACGUAAUGAUUAAUAGGGAUAGUUGGGGGCAUUAGUAUUCAAUUGUCAGAGGUGAAAUUCUUGGAUUUAUUGAAGACUAACUACUGCGAAAGCAUUUGCCAAGGAUGUUUUCAUUAAUCAAGAACGAAAGUUAGGGGAUCGAAGACGAUCAGAUACCGUCGUAGUCUUAACCAUAAACUAUGCCGACUAGGGAUCGGAUGAUGUUAAUUUUUUAAUGACUCAUUCGGCGCCUUACGGGAAAC
rnacentral:rRNA from 1 species